rnacentral:rRNA from 15 species
CGACCUUUAUUCUUCCAAGAAAAGCUUGAAUCAUUUAUACAUAAGAAAAUCUGUACCCGAAACUGGCACAAGUAGGUAGGUAUAUUAUACUAAGGGGCUCGAGAGACUUCUCUCUAAGGAACUCGGCAAAAUGACUCCGUAACUUUGGGAUAAGGAGUGCCUCUUUUCAAGAAGAGGUUGCAGUGAAUAGGCCCAGGCGACUGUUUACCAAAAACACAGGUCUCCGCAAAAUCGUAAGGUGAUGUAUGGGGGCUGACGCCUGCCCAGUGCCGGAAGGUGAAAGAAGUUGGUGAAAGCUGACGACUGAAGUCCCGGUGAACGGCGGCCGUAACAAUGACGGUCCUAAGGUAGCGAAAUUCCUUGCGGGGUAAGUUCCCGCCUGCACGAAAGGCGUAACGAUCUGGGCACUGUCUUGGAGAGAAUCUCGGUGAAAUAAACAUAUCUGUGAAGAUGCGGAUUAUUUAUACCUGGACAGAAAGACCCUAUGAAGCUUGACUGUAAUUUGUGAUUGGAUCUGGGCUUCUCUUGCGCAGUCUAAGUGGGAGGCAUUGAUGAAUUCUUUUCGGGGAAUUCUGAGCCGAUAUUGAGAGACCACUCUAGAAAAGUUAAGAUUCUAAAGAUAUUCCUUGAAUCAGGAUAUCUGACAGUCUCAGGUGGACAGUUUCACUGGGGCGGUGACCUCCUAAAGAGUAACGGAGGUGUACAAAGGUUCCUUCAAGCUGGACGGAAAUCAGCUGAAGAGUGCAAAGGCAAAAGGGAGCUUGACUGCAAGACUUACAAGUCAAGCAGAGACGAAAGUCGGUCUUAGUGAUCCGACGGUUCCGAGUGGAAGGGCCGUCGCUCAACGGAUAAAAGUUACUCUAGGGAUAACAGGCUGAUCUCCCCCAAGA